rnacentral:rRNA from 1 species
GCAGUAGCCGCGGUAAUACGGAGGGGGCUAGCGUUGUUCGGAAUUACUGGGCGUAAAGCGCACGUAGGCGGCUUGGUAAGUUAGAGGUGAAAGCCCGGAGCUCAACUCCGGAAUUGCCUUUAAGACUGCCGAGCUAGUAGGUGAGAGAGGUAAGUGGAAUUCCGAGUGUAGAGGUGAAAUUCGUAGAUAUUCGGAAGAACACCAGUGGCGAAGGCGGCUUACUGGCUCAUUCUAGACGCUGAGGUGCGAAAGCGUGGGGAGCAAACAGGAUUAGAUACCCCUGUAGUCCCUGUCUCUUAUAC